rnacentral:rRNA from 1 species
CGGGCUUGAACUGUAGGCGAACGAUCUAGAGAUAGUGAGGCCCUUCGGGGCGCCUACGGAGGUGCUGCAUGGUU